rnacentral:rRNA from 1 species
CACAUGCAAGUCGAACGGUGAAGCCAAGCUUGCUUGGUGGAUCAGUGGCGAACGGGUGAGUAACACGUGAGCAACCUGCCCUGGACUCUGGGAUAAGCGCUGGAAACGGCGUCUAAUACUGGAUAUGAGACGUGAUCGCAUGGUCGUGUUUGGAAAGAUUUUUCGGUCUGGGAUGGGCUCGCGGCCUAUCAGCUUGUUGGUGAGGUAAUGGCUCACCAAGGCGUCGACGGGUAGCCGGCCUGAGAGGGUGACCGGCCACACUGGGACUGAGACACGGCCCAGACUCCUACGGGAGGCAGCAGUGGGGAAUAUUGCACAAUGGGCGAAAGCCUGAUGCAGCAACGCCGCGUGAGGGAUGACGGCCUUCGGGUUGUAAACCUCUUUUAGCAGGGAAGAAGCGAAAGUGACGGUACCUGCAGAAAAAGCGCCGGCUAACUACGUGCCAGCAGCCGCGGUAAUACGUAGGGCGCAAGCGUUAUCCGGAAUUAUUGGGCGUAAAGAGCUCGUAGGCGGUUUGUCGCGUCUGCUGUGAAAUCCCGAGGCUCAACCUCGGGCCUGCAGUGGGUACGGGCAGACUAGAGUGCGGUAGGGGAGAUUGGAAUUCCUGGUGUAGCGGUGGAAUGCGCAGAUAUCAGGAGGAACACCGAUGGCGAAGGCAGAUCUCUGGGCCGUAACUGACGCUGA